AUCCAGGCUGGAUAGCCCAGUGGGUAGAGCAUGAGACUCUUAAUCUCAGGCUGUGGGUUCAAACCCCACCUUGGGUG